UACGAAGGGGGCUAGCGUUGCUCGGAAUUACUGGGCGUAAAGGGCUCGUAGGCGGCCAACUAAGUCAGACGUGAAAUCCCUCGGCUUAACCGGGGAACUGCAUCUGAUACUGGAUGGCUUGAGAUUGGGAGAGGGAUGCGGAAUUCCAGGUGUAGCGGUGAAAUGCGUAGAUAUCUGGAGGAACACCGGUGGCGAAGGCGGCAUCCUGGACCAACACUGACGCUGAGGAGCGAAAGCCAGGGGAGCAAACGGG
rnacentral:rRNA from 1 species